rnacentral:tRNA from 1 species
GAGCCAUUAGCUCAGUUGGUAGAGUAUCUGACUUUUAAUCAGAGGGUCAGAGGUUCGAAUCCUCUAUGGCUCACUA